ensembl:lncRNA
CUCUCUCUCUCUCUCUAUGUAAAACAUUUUCUACUUUGUUUUGGACAUGUCUCAAAAUGUAGCCUAGCUAGCCCCAGGCUAACGUUACUUAGCAUAUAUGCCUCCACUCGCUCGUCUCCCGGCGCAGCAGCACUUGCUGGGGUGGUGACCCCGGCACCAAAUAGGUCUGUCAAUUUUGAACAUUUAGCAGCUUCCACCUCCAGAGACUUCAGCUUUUGAAGUCGCAGUUUUUCGGCGCCACCCGGGCGUUUCUUAAGGUGCGGCCACACCAGACGCGUAUCUCGCGUACUUUUUACGCGAGAUACGCGCGUAAAAUGUUGCUUGACCAUUUUGUGUCAAAAAUGGUCGCAUACGCGCAAUACGCGCUAUACGCGAAGGAUGUUUGGUUUGAUAGUUAUGACGAAGAGGGAACGCUCCGUUCACUUGCAUGGACAGAGUCUCUGGUUGCUAAGCAACCUCAACGUCUUGGCGGACUAUUUCUCUGCUGAUCAACACUACAGAAACUACACGAACAGAAAUGGAGGUCGAUCAACGUAUCAUCGUCGCCGUGUGCGGCCGUCCUGUCCUGUACGACACCACGAUGGUGUCGUACAGGGACAGGAACAAAACAGAGAGGGCGUGGGUCGACGUGGCAGAGGAUAUUGGCGUUCCUGCGACGAAGAGGAAGAGAGCAGCCAGGGUACCGGAGGGGAAUAAUGUCCAGACAGCCAUCCUCCAGGCCCUGCAGAGGCAUAAUUCUGUCCCUACCCCUACCCCCCUUUCUGGGAAUGAGCACUUUGCCAUGGGCCUAGUUCCUUCCCUGGAUAGAUUGCCACCUGAAGUACUGGAGCACGUUAAAUUCCAAACCGUAAAAGUCAUAUUUG